UACGGAGGGUGCAAGCGUUGUUCGGAUUUACUGGGCGUAAAGGGCGCGUAGGCGGUCUUAUAAGCCAGAUGUGAAAGCCCACGGCUCAACCGUGGAAGUGCAUCUGGAACUGUGAGACUUGAGUAUGGGAGAGGAAAGUGGAAUUCCCGGUGUAGAGGUGAAAUUCGUAGAUAUCGGGAGGAAUACCGGUGGCGAAGGCGACUUUCUGGACCAAUACUGACGCUGAGGCGCGGAAGCGUGGGUAGCAAACAGG
rnacentral:rRNA from 1 species